GUGGGGGUGCCGGAGUGGUCAAACGGGCAGGACUUAAGAUCCUGUGGCUUAUGCCUUUCGCAGGUUCGAAUCCUGUCCCUCACA
rnacentral:tRNA from 1 species